UCUUUAAGGGGCACUUGGACCUCUCACCAAGCUAGCCAAGUCUUAGUUUCCUGGUCCUAACAGCUGGAGUCCAGGAAGCCCAAUAAAGUCGUUAAAGCUGGGUGGCAGUUCCUUCCUUACCUCUCAAAUUAACCAUGUCAAGCCAAGGGUCAAAGAACUGGUGCUUCAGCAGUACAGAUCUUGGUUAGACAUUGGGAAGGACUUCCCAAGACAGGAAUAAGAAAGAUCAUGGAAUUUCCUGGUUGGAGAGAGGAAAAGUCUGUCAUAGAAACAGGAAACUGAGUGGGAACCUCUUAAAUUUCAUCUCAUUAAUGCUUUCUUAGCCAAAUUAAAUACACUGAGGACAGAGCCUGACACAUAGCAAGCCUCCAAUUUGGCUACUUUUUUUUUUUCUAAAGAUUUUUUUUUUUUUUCCUUUUUCUCCCCAAAGCCCCCCGGUACAUAGUUGUGUAUUCUUCGUUGUGGGUUCUUCUAGUCGUGGCAUGUGGGAUGCUGCCUCAGCGUGGUCUGAUGAGCAGUGCCAUGUCCGCACCCAGGAUUCAAACUAACGAAACACUGGGCCGCCUGCAGUGGAGCGCGCGAACUUAACCACUCGGCCACGGGGCCAGCCCCCAAUUUGGCUAUUUUUAAAAAUCACAUUAAUAUGAAUUUUUAUUGGAUGAAUAUCAGGAGGAAAGGAUACAUCCCUGGAGACCUAUCUCCCAUCAUCCAGGAACCCCACGGGAAAAAUCCAGAUAUGAGGUAGUGCCCCGAGUACAAGAUGGCAGCCAAUUGCCAUGGCAACAGCAGAAGAAGGAGUCUGGUUGGUUGCGGGGGCGGUGCUGGGAAGCCAGCUGGUGCCAGAUGGACAAACCCAGCAGAAGGUAGCCCCAGCCGGGUGAAGCUCAUGCUCCCCGUGCCCAGGGCUCUCCCUCCAUAUGCCAGCCUCAGCCUGGUCCUUCCCUCCAGGCUUAAAGGCUCCACUGUUACCUGUGGGGGAUGAUGCCAAAACCAUUCCUCCUCCUGACUCUUUCUUGUACAACAAGGAAUGACCGCUUAGAGACAAGAGACCCUCGUGCUCAAAGUCUCCCUGGCUUAUGGGCCGAGGGAUCUAAAUAAGUCUGAAUUUAGCUCCCUCCUCACAAUGCGGAGGAACCAUAAAAUCAGGCACUUGAGGGUCCUAAGUGGCAGGGCUUGGAGGUACCAUUUUGUAUACAUUCAGUGGAGGGUCACAAUGUCUGGCUAGUGCUCCCUCUGGAGAACAAUGACAUGAGGGCUGCAGGGAGGGAGCAAAGUGGGCUAGGGCAACAUGGGGAACUCGAGCUUCGCUCCAUCCCUCUCCUCCUCUCAGGAUUGCUGGACAGUGUUUGCACAGGGCCAGCGGGAAGUUCUUCCUGAGAAGGCUGGAAGAAGCUGUGGUCAUGGAGUCUACCACCCAGUUGUUAAAAACAAAUGCCUCCCAAACCAGUCUAGCAAGAUGCUGGCCUGCGUGAGACCACGAGAGCUCCAGCCAGUCCUCCAGCCCGUCCCCGGAGCCCAGCCACACUUCUCAGACAGGGCUCCACCAUAGAUUGCACCCAGACUCCCUUCACUCUCCUCUCCAGCAAUCCCUGCUCUCGUUUCCAAACCCUGGAAGCCUUCUCUGAUUGUUCCCACCUACCUGCAAUGGCCCCUCUGUGUCCCUCAGCAUUUAGAAUUAACACGACAUCUGCACACAGCCUUACGAAGCACUCUCAUUGACACUGACCCAUUUGGUCCUCAGGACAACCGUGGAAGGAAGUUAGGAUCUAAACACAUUAAGUGGUUUGCCUAUGGUCACCCAGGUAGUAAGAAAGGGAAGCCAGAAUUUAUAUCCUGAUCAGCCUGAUUCCAGAGUCAAAAACCAAAACUUCAUUGUCCUUCCUUUUGUUGUCCUUCCUGUGGACAGAGCCCCUCUAUCAAAUCUGUGAGCAACCUGCAAGCUGAGGCUGUAACUGAUGUCAUUCUGCUUCCAGCACCCCCAAAGCCAACAUUUAUUAGAAGGGACAGUGUGCACAACAAGGGGUUGGAGGUAGGGGAGAAUGUCUACCCACACUGUGAUUAGCAGUAAGUGACCCUGAGGCCAGGCAAGGAGAGAAACCUCCCCUGGGGAGGACAUGACUGGGUGUGGAGACUGAGGUGGCCUCAGGGCUCCUUUUUGGUUCUGGUCAGUCUUGUCUUUCCACCCUCCCAACACAGCCUUCCCUGGAGGCAGACUCCAACAGUCCCUGUGCUGGGAAGAUCAGAGAGGUUCAGGGUGGGGUCAGCCCCAGAAGCACCAUGGGAAGGCGUGUAUGGGCUGGAGAUGGAAGGCUGGAGAGGCCUGGCAGGAUUGGGGUUUAUAGCUGGGAAGAAAUGUGGGGGGGAAGGGCGGGAGUAGGGCCUUGGUGCUGGGGACCUGUGGGGCCUGUCCUGGGAAUGGCUCUACCUUGGCCUCACUGUGAGACCCUGGCCAGGUCUCAGCUUCUAUUUGUUUCUCCAACCUGCUUAAAGCUUGAGGCCUCCUCUCAGCCUUCCCCUCCUCCAACCCCAUUCCACCACUCCCAGUGGGCCCCCGGGAGCUAAGCCCCCUCACCUGACAGGGCCACUUCCAUGGCCAUUCACAGAGAGGUCUUUGUGCAGACGCUGGGCCUGGGGGAGGGGCGGUAGCCAGCACCGCCCCCCGCCCCCUUACACUCCACCCCAGUGGCCAGCAGCCGCCUCAUCAUCUCUUCAGCUGUCUCUCCAGCCUUUCACUCCCUUUUUCUGGGAAGAAUCCCCCCGGAGCCUUGGCCCCCUCCUUGAUGACCCCUUACACCUUCCCUCACUCCCUCUUCCAGGAAGUUUUCAGGACUGAACCCCCUUCUCUAUUCUUCACUCCAGUCCGCAGUGGCCCAUCUCCUGUCCUGAUGUUGGGACACUGUGCUGGGGACCAACCUUGGCUUCUCCACAUUUCUCCCCAAAGGGCUCCCACCAGCCUGCCCAGUGUGUACCUGUGGGGCGUGGGCGGUUCUGGAGGGGGAGAGGCAGAGACUCUUCCUCAGGUGGCUUCCAGGCCUUUCAUACGUUCCUUCCUUUCUUCAGAACUAGCCAAGAGCCAGUUAAGUGUCUGGUUGGGUGCUGGGCUCAGUGGGCAGCUAGAUGCGGGUGUCCUUGUCGCAGCCAUACCCUGCACCCAGCAUCCCUGAGGCUGUCAGCUAACUUCUCAGAAUCCCCAUCAAAUGCAGCCUCCCUCAUGGAGCAGAUAAAGCUCUUAAUAAUGGAAUUUCUGCUUCCACUUCCCAUCUCCCCCAGCCCAGACUCCCUCUGAUGGAUGUUCCAGUCCCCUAAGGCACCAUGCUCUUCCCUACGUCCUUGCUUUCACGUACACUGUCCACUCUCCACCACCCACUUCCUCAAACUCCUUAGACUGACAACUCCUUGCUUACCUUUUAUCACUUUUAUUCCCUUUAUCUUUCAUCACCAACAUUUUGGCCCCCUCCAGGAACCCUUCCUUAACUCCCCCAAGGUGGCCCACAGUUCCCUCCCCACCUGCUCCCACAGCACUUUGCACACGUCUUCAGGACAGCAGUCUCCACAUGCCAUGUAAUUGUGUGUCUGCCUCCCCUGCUGGACGGUUAGCUCCUCAAAGAAGCUUUGUAUUCCACCUUCCUCUUCAGCAUAGCACCUGGCACAUAGUAGGCACUCAAUAAAUGUCUAGUGAAUGAAUGAGCUGACAUGGAGGUAGGGAUAAGGGAAAGGAAGGUAUGAACAUGAGAGGUGCUACAAAGGAGGAAGUGGUGGGUUCCGAUGUGACUGAUUUGGAUCGGGGGAAGGAAGAGGGCAAAUCGGAUAAUGCUCAGGAUUUGCACCUGAGGGCCUGGGAGUUUAAUGAAGCCGCCCAUAGAGGCAGGGAAGCAGGAACACGGGGCAAGACUUCAAGCCCAAUGCGGAGUGAGGGAGCAUGUGAAUGCCCUUCCUAUGUCUGGGGAAUGACCCCCUCAUGAGUUUCGGAGGGAGGCUGCACUUACAUGCCACUACAGAAGCCAAAAGCACAGGUACCUUCCUGGCCCUCCUUGCAGCUGGGGCCUGGGCGUUGGGUCUAGGCUUAGCCAAUCAGAUGCACCAGUCCAGUCUCUGACCUGGGAGCUAAUGGCAGGACCACAGGUAGCAGUUAGGGUACAAUCUGGAGUUUAUAAGAAGCCAAGACUAGAGAAAUGAACGAGCGUUUAUAACUUUGGCUGAUGGCUGAGGUGAUAAAAGUGAAUGAAAGUGAGUAGGAAGGAAAAAAACAAAGGUGACAGUAGAACCUUGGGGAACAUACUUUUGGCUGGAGGACUGGUCAACCCAGCGGACUGAGAGAAGAGAACCCAGAAUGAAUAAUCAGGGAUAUCACAGAAGAACCAAAGGCCAAAGGUGAAGACACGAUGGACAUCAGCAUGAAAUGUUCCACAAAAGUCACCAGACCUGAGCAAGGGCCGUUGGGUCCGAGCGAGGAGGUUGAGCGGCCUGAGAGGGCACAGUGUCACCAGAGUUACGAAGAUGGAAGCCGGACUGCAGGGCUGAGGAGAGAUGACUUGGAGCUUCGCCUCAAGUACAUGGUGGCCCUUCACAGGCCCCAGAGAGACCCCCACCCUAAACUGGCAGAUGAUCCUGCCUGCCCACACCUUACCCUCUCCCUCCUCCUGCUGACACCCCCAGUUCUGAUUCCUCCGGUAUUUUUUGCGUCACCCCCAGUCCUUCAAGUCCUCUGACCAUUGGCGCUCAGGAGGGGUCUGGAACCAAGGCCAGCGUGGAGGCCUCUCUACCGCGGCUGCUCCUGUGUGAGGCUCACAUCUCUUCGGGGGCUGCCCCUUCCUCAUCUCUCCCUCCUUCCUUCUCUCUCCAUGGAGGGGUCUGGAACCAAGGCCAGCGUGGAGGCCUCUCUACCGCGGCUGCUCCUGUGUGAGGCUCACAUCUCUUCGGGGGCUGCCCCUUCCUCAUCUCUCCCUCCUUCCUUCUCUCUCCAUCCUCUCUUCCCAGUUUCACUAGUAGGAAGACUCAACAAUGUUCCUGGUCAGCCAUAAAGCCCUGACAUCUCACCUCCCUCCACGUCCACCAACCAGGCCAGCUCUCAGCUCUGGAGAGGCGGCCAUUUUAUAGGCGCCAGCUACCUAAGAUGGCGGCCUCCCUGUCUCCCUCUGCUUUCGUUCCCACAGCCUUGCCUCUUACCCUUGCCUCUUUCUUUCUGAAGCCUGAGCCCAGCAAGGUGGGGGGCCGGGCUGGGGAGCCAAGGCCAGAGGAAGCAAAACAAAAAAGGACAGAAAAGCCGGCCCCUUGGCAUCUCUCUUUGGCACUUUAGUCCAGCAGAGGGAGAGAGGGCAGAAGGGAAGAAAGAAAGUAGUGUGAGUUUUUAUUUCCAUCCUCUUCCUGCCACCUCCCCCCCAACACACACACACACACACACACACACACACACACACACGCGUGCGCGCGCGCGCACACACUUUGAUGAAAACAAAAUUUCUCCCCUUUUCUCUCUUCUACAACCCCCCUCCCCUUUUUUCCUGGCUCCUACCAUGAGCCUCCUGGAAUGCAAAUAAGUUGUAUUAUGCAAAUGUAUGCAAAUCAGGCUUAACGAGCGGAAGGAGGGGGCAGAAUGCCGAAUGAGUAAUGGCGGAGGGUGCAGAUGGAGGAUGGCAGGAAUGACCCCUCCUCUUCUCUGUUCCCACAGCCUGGAGGCUUGCUAGGGGUAGCAGGAUGUCCCUCACUUCUGGGAAAGAGUAGAAGGUCAAAGCCACGUUGCUUCAGCUGAGACGGUUGAGCUGAGGUUGGCCUUGGCUAUAGGUGAAGGACAGGAGGGCUUGUGGGGAGAGAGGGUUAAGUACAAGGGACUCGUCCUCACUUGCACAACCUCACUUGAGCAACCUUGCCCAGAGACUCUGGAUGCACCAGCCUCCCUGCUUGUAUGGCCUGCUGAUGGCAGAACCUUCAGCUCCGGGUGCUGAAAAGGAGCUCCUGAUGGCCCCAGGCCUGGCCUAGAGACUGACUCAGGUGUUGGGCUUGUCUCUUCUGUGCUGUGGAAGCUCAAACCACCGCAAGGCAAUGAGAUGGGCUGUCUCCCCAGCCCGUCCCUUGUGCAGAGAGAAGGAAUGGGUGCAAUGACCCUGAGGGCGUGCUGCUCCCCUUCACCCAGAAGGUCCCCAGGGAGGCAGUUGUGGAAGGGAAGUGGGCAAACCCCGCCUCUGGAUGAGACGGCACCAUAACCCCCACGAUCUCUGAGGUCUCAGUAGCAAAGGAAAGGAGAUGAAAAGCUCAAUCUGUCCUCAGAACAUUGGGUAUGAAGGAGAUGAUGAAAUAAAUAUCAGUAUCCCACCUCCCAAACCUUGGGAAGUGCAGACUUCAAGAAUGACUUCCAGAUAUAGAAGAACACAGAGGGGCCUCUGCUUCUCUGGUGGGUUACCAACCUCGAGAACUGAAUUGGGGGUCUGGAAGGCAAGAGGAGAGAAAACACUCCUUCUUAACGUCACUCAGUGAUGAAGAAAAGUCUGCAUGCUGAUAGUCAUCAGGUUAAUUUACCUUGAAGACACAGAUGAAAGCUGCAAUUGGAGGAGGGUGGGUUCAGUCAGAAAGAUAACCCACCUAAAUGCAGAGGAAAUCAGAAAAAAGGAGGGCUGGAAACCAGGGAUAAGCCUUAACUCCAAGCCUGAUUUCUAGGAGGGGUGCUCUCAAUGCACCCUCUCACUUCUAACACCCGCAAGUACCCACUUGACUCCCAGCCUCAGCUCUGCCAGCCCAUCCGUUUCGUAAAGGGAUGUCUGAGUCUGAAAUUGUUAUCUUCAAACCAAAGAGGAGGCCACCCCUCCCCCAGCUUGCUGACUUGCUGGAAAACAGGCACAAGGACAGUUGGGGAGCCUGUGGCUCCUUCUUCCACUCUAAUCAAAGAGUCGUGGGGUCCCAGGAACAAUCGCACCUCUCCAUACUGAUAUCUGCCCUGUCACCCCCUCCACACACACACACAAUGCCCAGGGGGACGUGGUGACAAGGACCAGGGCCCAGGAGGCAUGGAACAUGUGUGUGCAUGUUUGGUGGUUGGCAGCCUCAGCCUCUCCCAGAAAUCUGGCCUCUGGGAUACCAGAAAUAGUCUACUGGCCUCCAGCCUCCACUACCCCACGAUGGUUCCAGCCUGUCUCCAAGAAAGCACCCUGUGGGUGGGGACUGGAGGCGAGAAGAGCUCCUUCUUUCUAUAUCCGCUGGCCCUU
ensembl:lncRNA